CCUACGGGAGGCAGCAGUGGGGAAUCUUGCGCAAUGGGCGAAAGCCUGACGCAGCAACGCCGCGUGCGGGAAGAAGGCUUUCGGGCUGUAAACCGCUUUCAGCAGGAACGAAAAUGACGGUACCUGCAGAAGAAGGAGCGGCCAACUAUGUGCCAGCAGCCGCGGUGAUACAUAGGCUUCAAGCGUUGUCCGGAUUUAUUGGGCGUAAAGAGUUCGUAGGCGGUCAAGUAAGUCGGGUGUGAAAAUUCUGGGCUCAACCCAGAGACGCCACCCGAUACUGCUUAACUUGAGUUCGAUAGGGGAUGGGGAAUUCCUAGUGUAGCGGUGAAAUGCGCAGAUAUUAGGAGGAACACCGGUGGCGAAGGCGCCACUCUGGAUCGAUACUGACGCUGAGGAACGAAAGCAUGGGUAGCAAACAGGAUUAGAUACCCUGGUAGUCCAUGCCGUAAACGGUGGGCACUAGGUGUGGGUUUCCUAUUAACGAAAUCCGCGCCGUCGCUAACGCAUUAAGUGCCCCGCCUGGGGGAGGUACGGUCGCAGAACUAAACUACAAAGAAGUUAGACGGCGUGAGACGNGCCGAACGGACGACGACGAGGGAGGUAGG
rnacentral:rRNA from 1 species